rnacentral:lncRNA from 1 species
GCUGGCUGUUGAUUUUCUUGGAGAAGCUUGCCGCAUGUGGUUUUCCUGAUGCAACUUGGCUGUUCUUUCAGCAAAGUAGGGGCUUGGGUUCUCGCUGUCUCUAGGAAUGGCUGCUGUUCUGGUCAGGGGAGCUCUGAUCUUCACUGAUGAUGCAACAUGGCUUCCAUUAUUCACUGGAAAACCGAAGAACCACUGGAACAGCUAGAAUCCAGGUAAAAGAUCAUUUAUGAAUUUAGUUUUCAUUUCUGGGGUAGCACCUGAUUGUCAUGACC